GACGAACGCUUGGCGGCGCGCCUAACACAUGCAAGUCGAACGAGAGAGAAGGAGCUUCGCUUCUUUCAAUCGAGCGGCGAACGGGUGAGUAACGCGCGAGGAACCUGCCUCAAAGAGGGGGUACAACAGUUGGAAACGACUGCUAAUACCGCAUAAGCCCACGGGUCGGCAUCGAUCUGAGGGAAAAGGAGCAAUCCGCUUUGAGAUGGCCUCGCGUCCGAUUAGCUAGUUGGUGAGGUAACGGCCCACCAAGGCGACGAUCGGUAGCCGGACUGAGAGGUUGAACGGCCACAUUGGGACUGAGACACGGCCCAGACUCCUACGGGAGGCAGCAGUGGGGAAUAUUGCACAAUGGGGGAAACCCUGAUGCAGCGACGCCGCGUGGAGGAAGAAGGUCUUCGGAUUGUAAACUCCUGUUGUUGAGGAAGAUAAUGACGGUACUCAACAAGGAAGUGACGGCUAACUACGUGCCAGCAGCCGCGGUAAAACGUAGGUCACAAGCGUUGUCCGGAAUUACUGGGUGUAAAGGGAGCGCAGGCGGGAAGACAAGUUGGAAGUGAAAUCUAUGGGCUCAACCCAUAAACUGCUUUCAAAACUGUUUUUCUUGAGUAGUGCAGAGGUAGGCGGAAUUCCCGGUGUAGCGGUGGAAUGCGUAGAUAUCGGGAGGAACACCAGUGGCGAAGGCGGCCUACUGGGCACCAACUGACGCUGAGGCUCGAAAGUGUGGGUAGCAAACAGGAUUAGAUACCCUGGUAGUCCACACCGUAAACGAUGAUUACUAGGUGUUGGAGGAUUGACCCCUUCAGUGCCGCAGUUAACACAAUAAGUAAUCCACCUGGGGAGUACGACCGCAAGGUUGAAACUCAAAGGAAUUGACGGGGGCCCGCACAAGCAGUGGAGUAUGUGGUUUAAUUCGACGCAACGCGAAGAACCUUACCAAGUCUUGACAUCCUGCGACGAUGCUAGAAAUAGUAUUUUCCUUCGGGACGCAGAGACAGGUGGUGCAUGGUUGUCGUCAGCUCGUGUCGUGAGAUGUUGGGUUAAGUCCCGCAACGAGCGUAACCCUUAUGGUCAGUUACUACGCAAGAGGACUCUGGCCAGACUGCCGUUGACAAAACGGAGGAAGGUGGGGAUGACGUCAAAUCAUCAUGCCCUUUAUGACUUGGGCUACACACGUACUACAAUGGCGUUAAACAAAGAGAAGCAAGACCGCGAGGUGGAGCAAAACUCAGAAACAACGUCCCUGUUUCGGACUGCAGGCUGCGAACUCGCCUGCACGAAGUCGGAAUUGCUAGUAAUCGUGGAUCAGCGUGCCACGGUGAAAUACGUUUCCCGGGCCUU
rnacentral:rRNA from 1 species